GUCGAAGACGAGCAGCGCGUCCUUCCAGCCGAAGCGCUUGAACAUCUCGGAGAAGGUCUCGGCCAUCUUCAGCUGCUGGAUCAUUAUCAGGCAACGCAGCGGGCCCUCCCCUCCGAGACGAUCCGCUGUGAGGGGCCUUGUUGUGCGCUGCUACGCCCGCCGUGGCUCCUCCUCCGAAUCCAGUCACUGCGUCUUAAUAGGUCACCGUGUGUCCGGGGCAGGGUCACGGAGGUCCGGAGGCACGGGACGGAGGCGGACGCCAUCGGCAGAGACGUGCUGAUAAUUUGGCGCACGGAUGGUUAUGAUAUAAGGAAAUAAAGUUCAUAA